CCAUAUCACGAGAAUACACAGGAGACUAUUUGGCAAAGCAGGAAGCUAAUUGUAAAGGAUAAUAAAAUGAACUAUGAGAUGCAACACCAUGAAAAGAGGACAGUAUGUUCUAUUGGGAAGGUUGUGCCAUAAACAAGAUAAAAGUGGGAAAGUUGUCAAAAAAUGCUGGAAAAUAAGACAUCUGUAACUCUAGAACUCUGCUGCGGUUCACAAUUUGACCUCCCUGCACUUUGUGAUGUCUCCACAAGGUCUAAUGCUGUUCACAGGCAAUUGGUGCCUUACUUCCACCUGUAGAAGAGGAACUUCAAGAGAAAAUACUGGACUGCGGGCCACAG